UACGUAGGAGGCAAGCGUUGUUCGGAAUUACUGGGUGUAAAGCGCGUGUAGGUGGUGGGCCAAGUCUGUGGUGAAAUCGCCCGGCUCAACUGGGCGAGGUCCGUGGAAACUGGUCGACUGGAGGACGGUAGAGGCGAGUGGAAUUCCCGGUGUAGUGGUGAAAUGCGUAGAGAUCGGGAGGAACGCCAGUGGCGAAGGCGGCUCGCUGGGCCGGUCCUGACACUGAGACGCGAAGGCGUGGGGAGCGAACGGG
rnacentral:rRNA from 1 species